UGGGUUUGACAUACUGGGAUUAGCCCUGUGAAAGCGGGGUAACGCUCCUUAGGGAGUGGAACCAGAACAGGUGUUGCAUGGCUGUCGUCAGCUCGUGCCGUGAGGUGUUGGGUUAAGUCCCAUAACGAGCGAAACCUUUGUCCUUAGUUGCCAGCGGAUAAUGCCGGGGACUCUAGGGAGACUGCGGACGUUAAGUCUGAGGAAGGUGGAGACGACGUCAAGUCAUCAUGGCCCUUAUGCCCAGGGCUACACACGUGCUACAAUGGUCGGUACAAAGGGAAGCGAGACUGUGAAGUGGAGCAAAUCCCAAAAAGCCGAUCUCAGUUCGGAUUGAGGGCUGCAAUUCGCCCUCAUGAAGCCGGAAUCGCUAGUAAUCGUGGGUCAGCAAUACCACGGUGAAUGUGUUCCCGAGCCU
rnacentral:rRNA from 1 species